AUGUUCAAGCUGGUUUUAGAAAAGGCAGAGGAACCAGAGAUCAAAUUGCCAACAUCCACUGGAUCAUGGAAAAAGCAAGAGAGUUCCAGAAAAACAUCUAUUUCUGCUUUAUUGACUAUGCCAAAUCCUUUGACUGUGUGGAUCACAAUAAACUGGAAAAUUCUGAGAGAGAUGGGAAUCCCAGACCACCUGACCUGCCUCUUGAGAAAUCUGUAUGCAGGUCAGGAAGCAACAGUUAGAACUGGACAUGGAACAACAGACUGGUUCCAAAUAGGAAAAGGAGUAUGUCAAGCCUGUAUAUUGUCACCCUGCUUAUUUAACUUCUAUGCAGAGUACAUCAUGAGAAACGCUGGGCUGGAAGAAGCACAAGCUGGAAUCAAGAUUGCCGGGAAAAAUAUCAAUAACCUCAGAUAUGCAGAAGACACCACUCUUAUGGCAGAAAGUGAAGAGGAACUAAAAAGCCUCUUGAUGAAAGAGGAGAGUGAAAAAUUUGGCUUAAAGCUCAGCAUUCAGAAAACGAAGAUCAUGGCAUCCGGUCCCAUCACUUCACGGGAAAUAGAUGGGGAAACAGUGGAAACAGUGUCAGACUUUAUUUUUAGGGGCUCCAAAAUCACUGCAGAUGGUGAUUGCAGCCAUGAAAUUAAAAGAUGCUUACUCCUUGGAAGAAAAGUUAUGACCAACCUAGAUAGCAUAUUCAAAAGCAAAGACAUUACUUUGCCAACUAAGGUCCGUCUAGUCAAGGCUAUGGCUUUUCCUGUGGUCAUGUAUGGAUGUAAGAGUUGGACUGUGAAGAAGGCUGAGCACCGAAGAAUUGAUGCUUUUAAACUGUGGUGUUGGAGAAGACUCUUGAGAGUCCCUUGGACUGCAAGGAGAUCCAACCAGUCCAUUCUGAAGGAGAUCAACCCUGGGAUUUCUUUGGAAGGAAUGAUGCUAAAGCUGAAACUCCAGUACUUUGGCCACCUCAUGCGAAGAGCUGACUCAUUUGAAAAGACUCUGAUGCUGGGAGGGAUUGGGGGCAGGAGGAGAACGGGACGACCGAGGAUGAGAUGGCUGGAUGGCAUCACCGACUUGAUGAACGUGAGUCUGGGUGAACUCCGGGAGAUGGUGAUGGACAGGGAGGCCUGGCGUGCUGCGAUUCAUGGGGUCGCAAAGAGUCGGACACGACUGAGCGACUGA
rnacentral:lncRNA from 1 species